GGAGAGGUGUCCGAGUGGUUGAAGGUGCCGCUCUCGAAAAGCGGUUGACGAAAGUCUCAUGGGUUCGAAUCCCAUCCUCUCCU
rnacentral:tRNA from 1 species